CACUUUUUGCGGGGAGGAAGGUGGCGAGUCCCUUUUUUGUCUGGUGAGUAGGGUUUUCCAUAAUUAGUCGAGUCCUGCACAUACUUACCAUAAAGCUUUUGUUUCUUCUAGCCCUUACCUCAGCUCGUAGAGAAAGUGAGAUAGCAGCCUUCAUGGUUUCGCCUCCUUAUACAAUUUUUACUAAAGAAUCAGUGAUGCUGUGAUCCCACCUACCGUUUAUUCCAAAGGUCUCUUCUGAUUUUCUCAUCAAUGAACCAGUUGUCCUUCCAUGCUUCUUCCCUAAACCCCAUACUUCAAUGCAAGACGCGACGCUGCACACACUCGAUGUUCUGGAGUUUUACAUCGACAAAAUGCGGGACUUAAGGAAAACGGACCACUUGAUAGUGUCAUUAGCGGACCAUUCAAAAGGUCAAUGUAGUGGGGCAGAGUGGCCGCCCACUGAGCCAGAGGCGGAGGAACCCCUCUGGGAGCCAUUUUGGGCCCAGCCUAGCCCCUCCUAGUCACCUGACAGGAAGCCACAGGGUGUGGCUAGGACUAUAAGAACUCCGCCAGGGAGCUCAGUCAGGGCCCAGCCUCUGAGGGAGAUAGAGGCCUGUCCAGAGCUCCUAGCUCAGGAGGCGGAUACCUGGCGUGGGCCUCCCACAGCUGCCUCCCCUAAGGCCAGCAAAGACUUCCCUGCCAGGGCUGCUGAGGCCUGGCCAAGCUGGUCAGCAGAGCUACUCUCUGACCCAGAGGAACCCAGGGCUCUGCUGGUGCCGGGGGAUUCGGAGGACUGGCCUGAGCCUGUGGUCCUGCUUGAGCCCCAAGGUCUGCAGAAACCCCUGGACUCUGAGGGCUUGCCAGAGCUGGUGGACAGGCUGGAACCCCGAUGCCUGCCUGAACCCCAGGGCCUGACAAACCAGCUGGACACUGCAGAGCUCCAACCCAUCGAAGCCUGGAUUGGGCUGCCCUGACCCUGCUGGGAUGACACCUCCCUCGACUCUCUGACUGACUUGCUGGAGACACAGGUACCCGCGAAGGGGGAGAUGAGGACUGGCUCAGGAGGUAGCAUGGGUGGAGAACAGCCCUAGGACAGCACGUUGCAGGCUGGAGCCCCUGCUGAGCCAGUAGCAGCCUCACUGCUGCUUCCAGGGCCCCUAGGCCAGGACGCAGUGGAGUGGGUGGGCCUGCGCCCCCUGCCACCCACCUACUGGGUGGCAGUCUCCCCCUCGCCACUGCUGCAGGUGCGCUACCUGCCCUGCUCCUGAACCAGGAGCUUCCUCAAACCUGGGUGUUUGUUGCCCUGCCCUGCCCCAGGGCCAGGGCUUGCUUCUUGUGUUUGGUGCCCUGCUCUGUGCAAGGGCCAGGGCUUGUGUAAGCCUGGGACUAGAGACUUGGGGACAAUUGACAGGGGUUGCGCGGUGGGACAGGAGUAUCGCCCACUGACCUGGAGGUGGAGGAACCCCUCCCCGGGAGGCCAACCGGCCUAUAAUCCACCCCUGGAAGGGGGGAGCUCAGACUGUUGUGGGCACUGCUGGAGGGCAGUGUCCUGAGAAGGAUCCUACCACCUGCCGUCCAAGCUAAUUCCUUGGACUGAUGGCUGGUGGUGCUGUGGCGGUGAGUGUACCCCGUUACAGUCAACCAUUGACUUCUCAGUGCAUUUCGAGACUGAUAGUUUCAUGCAUAACUAUGUGUCAUUCUAUAUGUAACAAAUCUUUACUGAAUCCACCUAAGGUCCAUUUCACCAGAGCGGUGUUCCCUACUACGGCCUUUCUAAGAGGAGUCCCAUUUCAUAACAUUUGCAGGGCAGCAACCUGGUCCUCUAAUGUCACCUUUAUGAAGCACUAUGCUGUAGUUGAUCAUUUUGCUUCAGACUCUGCAGUGGCUACAGCAGUACUCAAUUGUAAUCACAAUCUUUAAUUCCAGAGCCCUCUGGCAGUUUGGGUACUGCUCUGAAGUCACUAAAAGUGAUGCAUCCAUGGGGACCACUCGAAGAAGAAGAAGAAGAAGAAGAAGUUACUCACUCUGUGAAAUGAGUGGGUGAGAGAAACUUAGCGGGUGCCAGACUGCGCACAGCUGAUCAAAGGUGCGAACGGCACUGCAGAGAAGCCGUGCAUGCGCAGUCUGGCGAAGCAUAGCUAUGACAGUUCUCCGAGCCACGGUACCGGGACAGGACCCGACACCAAGAGUGGAGCAUCCAUGGGGACACAUCUCGAAGAACAAUCGUUACUUCACAGGUUCUCCAAGAUUCAACUGCACAAUAAGAAGAAUAUGUUAAAUUUUGUGGUGUUAAAUACAAGCCCCUAGCAUUGUGAAUAUGCACAUGAAAGGGCAAGGAGAUUUGAUUUCAAAGCAUAACUUCUCAAAAUCUUCUGUGAAUUGCAAUUACAUAUUUAAAACUGGAUUACCUGAGUCUUAAAUUAGUUUAACUUUGAGACCCUGGGCUUAUCUGUACAUGAAACCUGUGGGAUAGGAAGAGAUGCACAAAGAUGUUUGAAGAUGCACAAAGAGAGUUCCCAUGAUUCCUCCUGCUAACAGUACUGCAUUUUACACAAAGUCCCUCCAACCCUAACUCCCUACUCAUUAGUGAUGGACCUCUAGUCCUACCAUUUCCUUUGAGGCACUGCGUUCACUGCGUUAGGGCCACUGCGUUCAUGCCAUUGUAAGAUGCCCGUUGCAGCCCCUCAGGCUCUCCGGGUGACAAAAAUAAAAGCAUCUUGAAUGAGAAGCGGUAGCUUCAUCACUGGGAGAGGGUCUGCCAUUGAUGAAGCUCUGUCCACACCAGUGCUUUUCAUCAUUACAGUUUUUUUGGAAGCGAGUGUAUAUUUGUUUUUUCUACACCCUUGAGCCAUGAAAGUUUCCAUAAGGAAGUGCAGUGUAGACAUGGCCUAGGAUUGAAGUGUGGGCUAUUGUAGACUUUGCACACUUUAGAAGAGAGCAUCAUCAGUUUUUGCUGAAGAACAUGCAUAAAGCAAAAUUAUGCAGUAUGCAUGUGCAAUUUAAUCCAGUGCCUGUGUGCAAUUUAAUCCAGUUAUUACUGGUCUGGAUGCCUUCAUUCCCAAUUGGCUACGAGAGGAAGGGAAGAGAAAGGUUGAGCUCUCAUUGAGCCUUCCUACUGUUAAAGCUAAUGAUAAAAUUACAUUGCACAGUCCUUUGGUUUGUUUUUCCACUUCAUGCAGCAGCUUUUCCUGCAGUAAGAAGGUAUUUCAACUUGCCUCUUUUUUGUCCUCUCUGUUAUUCAUUAAAAAAGGUGCAGUUCUGCCUCUUAUUUGUGCUUCCAUGCUUGUAAUAAACGGUGUAUUGGGAUUCAUUCCACUGCCUUGUUCAUUUCAGACAUUCUUCUCUUCAGCUCUACUUAGAACUUGGUUCCAGAAAGUACCCCCUUCUAAUGAAUUAUACCAUAGUAAUCCUUCCCCUCAAACUACUCCCCGAGACCUGGUUGACACUAGAACCUUAGUACAAAAUAAUACCCCCCUACACACACACCCUCCAGGUUGAAUUUGUAAGUGAUGCAUCCACACUACCACGCCGAUAUUCUGGAAUAAGAGGCCACAGAAUUCAAAGUCUGUACUCCUGCUUUUCACGAGGAAUAACACUAUUCUCAAAGUUGCGUAUCCAAAAUAACAUUAGUGUGGAUGCUCUGGUGCUGCUAAUUCAAACCAUUUGGCCUCUAGGAGGCCUUCU